rnacentral:lncRNA from 1 species
GGUUGUCUUUGUAACCCCCACCAGGCAGCUCUGCUAUGGCCUCAGAGUCUCACCGGAGGCCCUGAGAUGUGUCCCCUACUGGGCCCUGAAGCCACAGAAGAUGCCUCCAGGCUGUACCUGGAAGGGCCUGGGGCUUGGAUGCUGACUCAGACAAGCAAAGUGGGGAGCAGGAAGAGGAGAGGACCUUGGAGUGUGCAGUCUCCACCUCCUUCCCAUCCUUAAUGAACCAGAUCUUUCCAAGGAGACUACCAAGCUGAGGAUCUGGAGAAGCUACAAGCUGUAUUGGUGGCAUGUACUUAUGAAUGCUGCGAGACAAAGCCUUCAGAGCUGGCCCCAGAUGUGAGGCGGUGUUACCAGUGAACAUGGAUGUGGCGCCACAGCAAGGACAGCUGAGGCGGGGCAGGACCUUCUCCACUGUCCCCACUCUGGACUCUGCAAGCACCGUAUCUGGCCAGAGACAAAGUGGCUGGUAUCUGACUGGGUACUCAGCCACCAGCCUGCUGCAUCUGGCUGUCCCUGGGAAGAAAGGAG